rnacentral:rRNA from 1 species
GUCCACGCCUAACGAUGUACACUAGUUGUUGUGAGGCUCGACCUUGCAGUAAUGCAGUUAACACAUUAAGUGUACCGCCUGGGGAGUACGGUCGCAAGAUUAAACUCAAAGGAAUAGACGGGACCCGCACAAGCGGUGGAGCAUGUGGUUUAAUUCGACGAUACACGAAGAACCUUACCUGGACUUGACAUAGUAAGAACUUUCUAGAGAUAGAUUGGUGUCUGCUUGCAGAAACUUAUAUACAGGUGCUGCACGGCUGUCGU